rnacentral:rRNA from 1 species
UACGUAGGUGGCAAGCGUUGUCCGGAUUUACUGGGCGUAAAGAGCGCGCAGGCGGUCGUGCAAGUCGCGUGUGAAAGCCCCCGGCUCAACUGGGGAGGGUCACGCGAUACUGAUCGACUGGAAGGCAGGAGAGGGUAGUGGAAUUCCCGGUGUAGUGGUGAAAUGCGUAGAUAUCGGGAGGAACACCAGUGGCGAAGGCGACUACCUGGCCUGUUCUUGACGCUGAGGCGCGAAAGCUAGGGUAGCAAACGGG